UACAGAGACUGCAAGCGUUAUUCGGAUUCACUGGGCGUAAAGGGUGCGCAGGCGGCCAAGUGUGUUAGGCGUGAAAGCCUGAGGCUUAACCUCAGAAUGGCACCUAAAACUACAUGGCUAGAGCAUUGGAGAGGGUAGCGGAAUUCACGGUGUAGCAGUGAAAUGCGUAGAUAUCGUGAGGAACACCAGAGGCGAAGGCGGCUACCUAGACAAUUGCUGACGCUCAGGCACGAAAGCGUGGGGAGCAAAAGGG
rnacentral:rRNA from 1 species